UACGUAGGUGGCAAGCGUUGUCCGGAAUUAUUGGGCGUAAAGCGCGCGCAGGCGGUCCUUUAAGUCUGAUGUGAAAGCCCACGGCUCAACCGUGGAGGGUCAUUGGAAACUGGAGGACUUGAGUGCAGGAGAGAAGAGUGGAAUUCCACGUGUAGCGGUGAAAUGCGUAGAUAUCGGGAGGAACACCAGUGGCGAAGGCGACUACCUGGCCUGUUCUUGACGCUGAGGCGCGAAAGCUAGGGGAGCAAACGGG
rnacentral:rRNA from 1 species